rnacentral:miRNA from 1 species
UGCACUUUUUGGUAAAAAGAUGUUAACGAAAGUUGUUCGUCUUGAUGAGGGCUACAACUUUGCUUAAUAUCCUUUUAACAAAUUAUGCGUAUUUAAGGAGAUAGGGCUGCGCAUGCGCAGAACGUAUCUCCUUACCUUUGCACUUUUUGGUAAGAAGAUGUUAACGAAAGUUGUUCGUCUUGAUGAGGGCUACAACUUUGCUUAAUAUCCUUUUAACAAUUUAUGCG